GGCGGACACCGGAGAGGGGGAGCCGCGGGGACGCAGCGGCAGAUUCGGGGUGCUGGCAGCCGCAGCCCACGCCUCCCAGGGAUUGCAGGCCUGGGCGCCGGGGUUGGACCAGUGUCCCGGGCAUGGCAAGCCCUGGUUUGGUCUGUACCCAUGGUUUGUGGCGGGGCAAGACCUUAAGUUGGGUGACACCGAGGUGAGCCACGGUCCUCGGCACCAGAUGAGGAACCACUGUCUCAAUAAGUGACACCAGUGAUGCUGUUAAACAAGGACAAUCCGGUUCAUGGAUUGUGACAACGCCCACUGACAUUAAGCGGACCCUGCCGUCAGAUUCUUCUGCAGAAACAUAACUCUUAGGCUCAAUCUCUAUUCCUGGUCUUCCACAGCUAUCGUCUUCUUUUUAAAGUACUGUAUUUUAUUGAAUCUAAGCUAGUAUUUGUUGUAAGAAGCACUAUUAUUAUAUGUACAACUAAGGAAGAAAAAAUGCUGCCAAUUAAACUGUGACAUAAUGCCAUGAUUACAGUCCUGUGAAAUUGCUGAGUGCCAUGAGAGGACAGUGACAACCUUGGGGCCUCAUGGUGAAGGUGGCAGAACCUUUGUUAGCCUGGGUGCUCAGGGUGGACAGCUGCUCUUGCCAACCGGGAACAUUGGCCUUGAGCUCUUUUGUAAGUGACGGAUAAGCUUUUAUUGUACUUCAGCCAAGAUACAAACAUUGGAUGUAUUUGUACAGCAGCUAAAGGUACUCUGAUAAUAUGUAUUCUGAAAUCACCAUGUACCCUAAAAUAUUUUAACAAAAUUCUUGCAA